ACUCCUACGGGAGGCAGCAGUAGGGGAAUCUUCCACAAUGGGCGGCCAAGCCUGAUGGAGCAACACCGCGUGAGUGAAGAAGGGUUCGGCUCGUAAAGCUCUGUUGUUAAAGAAGAACACGUAUGAGAGUAACUGUUCAUACGUUGACGGUAUUUAACCAGAAAGUCACGGCUAACUACGUGCCAGCAGCCGCGGUAAUACGUAGGUGGCAAGCGUUAUCCGGAUUUAUUGGGCGUAAAGAGAGUGCAGGCGGUUUUCUAAGUCUGAUGUGAAAGCCUUCGGCUUAACCGGAGAAGUGCAUCGGAAACUGGAUAACUUGAGUGCAGAAGAGGGUAGUGGAACUCCAUGUGUAGCGGUGGAAUGCGUAGAUAUAUGGAAGAACACCAGUGGCGAAGGCGGCUACCUGGUCUGCAACUGACGCUGAGACUCGAAAGCAUGGGUAGCGAACAGGAUUAGAUACCCUGGUAGGAUAGCG
rnacentral:rRNA from 1 species